GUUGAGGUAGCCGGGUGGUCUGAGGCGCUGCGUUCAGGCCGCAGUCUCUUCGGAGGCGUGGGUUCGAACCCCGCCCUCAUCA
rfam:Basidiobolus meristosporus CBS 931.73 K493scaffold_138, whole genome shotgun sequence.